rnacentral:rRNA from 1 species
GGGCCCGCACAAGCGGUGGAGCAUGUGGUUUAAUUCGAUGAUACGCGAGGAACCUUACCAGGGCUUAAAUGUUAGGUGACAGAUCUAGAAAUAGAUUUUUCUUCGGACACUUAACAAGGUGCUGCAUGGUUGUCGUCAGCUCGUGCCGUGAGGUGUCAGGUUAAGUCCUAUAACGAGCGCAACCCCUGUUGUUAGUUGCCAGCGAGUAAUGUCGGGAACUCUAGCAAGACUGCCAGUGCAAACUGUGAGGAAGGUGGGGAUGACGUCAAAUCAUCACGGCCCUUACGUCCUGGGCUACACACGUGCUACAAUGGUAGGUACAGAGAGCAGCCAAUGCGCGAGCAUGAGCAAAUCUAUAAAACCUAUCGUAGUCCAGAUUGGAGUCUGCAACUCGACUCCAUGAAGUAGGAAUCGCUAGUAAUCG